CUAAUUUAUGAUUUUUCUUGACACAAACUGAACUCAAUUUAGAGUAGAUUUAGAGCUGUUGACAGUCAAAUUGUUGAAAUUAUUAUAACCAGUAGGGGUCUCCUAUGAGCCUAAAUAAAUUUACUGAUCGUGGAGUGAAACAGGCUUUAUAAAACAGAGCAUUGCGUUUGUAUUCGUUUAAAGUUUCUAAUUCUACACAUCCUGUUCAGACCUCACACACACUGCUGUUCAUUCAUGUCAUUCCUCCAGCACUGAAGCAUCAACAUGAUAUUUAUAGUGUGCUUCAUUUAUUUAGCAGCACCUCCAUUCUGGGUCUCAGGAGAAUCACUAAGUGAUCAAGUUCGUCAGAAUCCACCUCAUCUGAUAACAAGAGCUGAGAAAACAGUUCAGAUCAGCUGUUCUCACACCAUUAAAGACUAUUACAUGAUAUUAUGGUAUCAGCAGCUGAAGGGUGAUAGUGCACUUAAUCUUAUUGGAAAUGUGUAUUACACAAAUCCAACCACCGAAAACCAAUAUAAAACUCAGUUCAGCAUUGGAGGAAAUGGAGCAGAAUCCUCUACUCUUAAUGUAACAUUAGAAAGAGAACAUGUUGGGAGUACUGCAGUAUAUUACUGUGCUGCCAGUAGAGCACAGUGUGGAAGAUCCUUUAAUCACUCUUACAAAAACCUUCAGUUAAACCCUGUCACCACAACAUUAUUAGCACCUGAAUGCACCCAUACACCCCCAAACAUGAUCACUCAGUGCACCCAUAUUAAGUUGUAUGAUGAUUAAUAUUAUACGCAGUUAUGUCUCUAAGCAUUUAAUUCAUAUAUACAAUUAUACAUUUUAUUGUUUUUAAAAUGAUUUCAUAUAUAAUUCAGCUAUCUCCAUUGCUGUUAAUUGCUUGCCUUAUCCGUUACUUAUUAUUUUUUGUAUUUUUUAAAGUGUAAAGUGAAAUUGAUGAUGCAGUCACUGUAAUUCUUAUCAUGCAUCUACAAAGUACAUGCGUUCAUUAAUUAAUUGAUUUUUUUUUUUUGAAGGAGGAACUAAUCUAUUCCAGCAUUAUAUGUCCAUUCCAUUAGAUGUCCUCACAGAAAACUAUAGCUACUGAGUUUCUUGACUCAUAAAAACUAAAAUCUUCUUCUAUUAUGUAAACAAAAAUAACUUAUUUAAAUUGUUAUUUAUUUAUUUAUUAUUUUUUUAAGAAUCAUUGAGACUAAUUGUUUUUAAUUAAAAUCCCUUCCUCGUUUUCUCUCCUUGCUUUACAGAUUUGGGAUUAAAGCAAUCACCUCAUCUCUUUGUAACUGAGGAUCUUAAUGUGACCCAAAAGUGUUCCUAGAUUGGAACAUCACAUAACAGCAUGUACUGGUUCAGAAAAACACCCACUGAACCAUUGGAGCAGAUAGUGCAUUUCUACAUUAAAACAGAAAACUGGGAGAAGGAUUUUAAGCAGAGAGCAUCAGCUGUGAGCCGUAACCCAAUCUAUAACCUCAACAUAAGCAUGCAGAUUCACAUCUAACUCCUGCUCAUCUGUCAAUGAAUGAAAUUCUACAUUACUAUAGGGAUGAGUGGAUAAUGUAUUUCUAUACAUUUUAGUAUUUUUAAGUUAGUUCAUUCACAUAAUUUAAACUAUUCCCACAUGUAAAGAAAAAAAAAAUCUAAACAUGUU
rnacentral:lncRNA from 12 species